CCUCGAAGAAGAAGAAGGAAUAGCUCGUAUUUCUCUCGUAAGACAUUCAAUAUUUGAUUGGUCAAUACAUUCGACUGGGAGAUGGACUGAAAAAAAUGACAUUUCCAAAAGAAAAUGUGUGUGUGUGCUUGUCUUGAACAUCAUUUUAUGGCCCUGAGUGAAUCUAUGCAAAUACAAUCCAUGACGUAAAGUAAUGUGAUCCUCCACUACAAACAAUAUGGCGGCGCCCAGUGGCGCUAAACUUCUAUCAAGAGCAGGAUUGGGGGGUUUCCUCCAGAGGGUGUGUGGUCUGUGGGGGUGUGGCUCACCCUGGGGUGUCCAAUCCCAGCAGCACCGGCAGUUCUUCUGGAGGAAGUGGAAGAGCUCUCACAGUGUAGUCAGACCGGCUGUCGUCAGACCAGCCUACCCAGUCCCCAAGCACAUCCUGAGGCCUGACUAUGUGAACAGUGGUCAGGUCCCAGACUGGCCAGACUACAUAGAGAUCAAAGACCAGGAGCAGAUCCAGGGCCUGACCAGAGCCUGCCAGCUAGCCAGACAAAUACUUCUGCUGGCAGGACGCAGUCUCAAGAUUGGCAUGAUGACAGAUGAGAUAGAUUUCAUCGUCCACCAGGAGACGAUUCGUCACAACGCGUACCCCUCCCCCCUGAGAUAUGGGGGGUUCCCCAAAUCAGUCUGCACCUCUGUCAAUAAUGUGGUCUGCCAUGGCAUACCUGACACCCGGCAACUGCAAGAUGGAGACAUUAUCAACGUUGAUGUGACUGUCUAUCUGGAGGGUUACCAUGGUGACACUUCAGAGACGUUCCUGAUUGGCUGUGUGGACGAGAUGGGGCGAAAGCUAGUGAAGACAGCCAGGAAGUGUAGAGAUGAGGCCAUUGCUGCCUGUAAACCUGGGGCUCCACUGUGUGUUAUAGGUAACACUAUCAGUGAAAUAGCCCAUUCCAAUGGUUUCCAUGUGUGUCCCUACUUCAUUGGGCAUGGCAUAGGCUCCUACUUCCAUUGCCAUCCUGAGAUCUGGCACCAUGCUAAUGCCAAUGAUAUGACCAUGGAUGAAGGGAUGACUUUCACUAUAGAGCCCAUAUUGAUGGAAGGAUCGUCAGAGUUCAGAAUCCUGAAGGACAAAUGGACAGCAGUGUCUGCAGACGACAAGAGGUCAGCCCAGUUUGAACACACAGUAGUCAUCACCUCUGACGGUGUGGAUAUUCUCACCAAACUACCCAAGGAGGAUGAGCCAUCGCCAAUAGGAGUCUAAUCCCUGUUUUCAGAUCAGCUGUUCACACCCCAGUCACAUCAACAUCUAUGAAGAGCCUAGAUAUGUUGGAGUGGUGUCAUCUCGUAUUCAAGACAUGGAAUGACUGAAGCUUCAGGUGUCUGCUCCUCUGGAUGCGACGGUCUGGUGUGACGUGAACCAGGAGACUGAUGGGUGGGCAAGAAGCCAAAGAAAAAUCCCCUUGACUGUGACUUCGUGUGACGCCUUGUACACCUUAUUACCAUUUCAUGUUAUCAUGAUUCAAUACCCUUAUUAUACAAUCUAUUAUUAUGACAAAGGUUUUAUAUCUUUUGUCGUUUUUUUUGUUAUAACUUUUUCACUUGCAAAGAAUGUUGUAAGCUUUUGGAUAUUUGUUUCGCCCUCAGUGCGCUCUCUGCUCGCACUCACCUUCGGAUCAGCGAGAGGUGAUGGCGCCAUCUGGGGGUCUUUGUGUGAUGUUGCUACAACCCGGCAGACACAUACCAAUAGUCUACUCCACCUUACACACUUCAUAAUUACCGACGGCGCCAGUGCUCACCCACACAGGCGAGCAAAACAACCAUUAAGGCUGACUGAGAUGACUGAGGGUAUAUUUACACUGUCUAUGUGUGCCCACCACGCAUUAAGGCUUACCUCCGACUCCACUGUAAAUAUAAAUCAUGAUCUUCAGACCACAGCAGCAGCUGCAAGUGGGGUAUAGGCUAGGCUGUGUCUCAAUAGUCUGAAGUUGCUUCCUCUCCUUCAUCUGCCUUUAUCUGAAAACACAGGUUAGUUGAAAGCGCACCAUGAAUAUAUCAUCACCUGUCCAUAUCAACACUAUCAAUAUGGACCCCUCCAUUUCCUUUACUUCACAUUAGUGUUGAGUCAUGGGGGGGCAUUUUACUGUACUUGAUAACAUUUUUUACAUUUUACAUUUUAGUCAUUUAGCAGACGCUCUUAUCCAGAGCGACUUACAGUGGUGAAUGCAUACAUUUCAUACAAUUUCAUACAUUUUUUUUUUUUUUUUUUUCUGUGCAAGGCCACUAGAUGGCCUUGCACUGCUAUGUAUGUACAUCCUGUAGCCUUAGUAAUAACAGUAUCCCUGUAUGCAUAUAAGCCAAGGCCCUUUACCAACAUGUCAGGAGCUUUAUGGCAUUUGUGGUAGUGCACUAGCUAUAUUUCCGCAGGGUCGCUGGUUCAAACCCAGCUCUGGCUGUCGCUACAGUGUGUUGUUUAGGAGGUAGAUGAACACAAACAUAACAUUUGCUGCUAUUACAUUGUCAAAGUAAUGUAAGCCACACUGAUGCCUCAAUGGGAAUAUUUAAUUAUGAAACGUUAGAUACUUUAGUUGUAUUGUUGUUUGGUCGUAGUGUUCUUAGUUUUUACAUUUGAGUUGCUGUUCUUGUCUAUUGGUGUUCAGUAUUAUUUCAUGUUUUGUGUAGACCCAGGAAGAGUAGCUGCUGCUUCUUCAACAGCUAAUGGGAUCUGAAUAAAAUCAU